rnacentral:rRNA from 1 species
UACAGAGGGGGCAAGCGUUGUUCGGAAUUACUGGGCGUAAAGGGCGCGUAGGCGGCCCGCUAAGUCGAACGUGAAAUCCCCGGGCUCAACCCGGGAACUGCGUCCGAUACUGGUGGGCUUGAAUCCGGGAGAGGGAUGCGGAAUUCCAGGUGUAGCGGUGAAAUGCGUAGAGAUCAUGAGGAAGACCAGUGGCGAAGGCGGGUCUCUGGACAGUUCCUGACACUGAGGCACGAAGGCCAGGGGAGCAAACGGG